GAUGAACGCUGGCGGCGUGCCUAAUACAUGCAAGUCGAACGCAAUACUUCGGUAUUGAGUGGCGAACGGGUGAGUAAUACAUAAGCAACCUUGCCAUGACAGGGGGAUAACUGACGGAAACGACAGCUAAAACCGCAUAGGUAUAAACGAAGCAUUUUGUUUAUAUUAAAAAUGCUAAGGCAUUGGGUAUGGAUGGGCUUAUGGAGCAUUAGCUAGUUGGUGAGGUAGAGGCUCACCAAGGCGACGAUGCAUAGCCGGCCUGAGAGGGUGAACGGCCACACUGGGACUGAGACACGGCCCAGACUCCUACGGGAGGCAGCAGUAGGGAAUUUUCGGCAAUGGGGGGAACCCUGACCGAGCAACGCCGCGUGAAGGAAGAAGGAAUUCGUUUCGUAAACUUCUGUUAUAAAGGAAGAAAGGGAUGUGUAGGGAAUGAUACAUCUAAGACGGUACUUUAUGAGGAAGCCACGGCUAACUACGUGCCAGCCGCCGCCGUAACAC
rnacentral:rRNA from 1 species